rnacentral:rRNA from 1 species
UAUCUCUGUAGAGUCUGCAUAUCAAUAAGCGGAGGAAAAGAAACUAACAAGGAUCCCUUAGUAACGGCGAGUGAAGCGGGAAGAGCUCAAAUUUGAAAUCUUCAAGGUUUUACCUUGACGAAUUGUAGUUUAAAGAAGUGUUUUCUGUUGAAGUUUUCGGUAAAAGUUCUUUGGAAUAGGACAUCAUAGAGGGUGAGAAUCCCGUAUUUGAUUAUUCAUUCUAGCUUUGUGAUACACUUUCAAAGAGUCGGAUUGUUUGGGAAUGCAGUCCAAAAUGGGUGGUAAAUUUCAUCUAAAGCUAAAUAUUGGCGAGAGACCGAUAGCGAACAAGUACCGUGAGGGAAAGAUGAAAAGAACUUUGAAAAGAGAGUUAAACAGUACGUGAAAUUGUCAAAAGGGAAGCGUUUGACACCAGUGUUGUUUUCUCGAAAAUCAAUUAAAAAAGGCAGGAUUUUGUGUUGUAUUGACUUUAUCAGCUUUCUGCACUCUUUUCUUGUCUUUUUUAAUGCACUUUUCGUUUAACAAGUCAACAUCAAUUUCUUUUGUUGUAAAAGGGUCAUUGGAAGGUGGCUUUCUUUUCGGAGAAAGUGUUUAUAGCCUUUGGCCUCUGCAAUCGGAGAGAUUGAGGUCUGCAGCGUAGAUCCUUCGGGGUUAGAUACAUUUGUGCUAAGUUAUAGCCUUUCAUAGACAACUUGUUGACUAUGAUCAGUCAUGUAGCUUACUCGCUUAUGCUAUUUUACCUACGCUUAGGAUGUUGAAGAUGUAGCACAUCAU